rnacentral:rRNA from 1 species
GACGAACGCUGGCGGCGUGCUUAACACAUGCAAGUCGUACGGUAAGGCCCUUUCGGGGGUCCACGAGUGGCGAACGGGUGAGUAACACGUGAGUAACCUGCCCACAACUUUGGGAUAACGCUAGGAAACUGGUGCUAAUACUGGAUAUGUGCUCCUGCUGCAUGGUGGGGGUUGGAAAGCUCCGGCGGUUGUGGAUGGACUCGCGGCCUAUCAGCUUGUUGGUGGGGUAGUGGCCUACCAAGGCGGCGACGGGUAGCCGGCCUGAGAGGGUGACCGGCCACAUUGGGCUGAGAUACGGCCCAGACUCCUACGGGAGGCAGCAGUGGGGAAUAUUGCACAAUGGGCGCAAGCCUGAUGCAGCAACGCCGCGUGCGGGAUGACGGCCUUCGGGUUGUAAACCGCUUUCAGCAGGGACGAAGCUUUUUGUGACGGUACCUGCAGAAGAAGCACCGGCUAACUACGUG